rnacentral:tRNA from 2 species
GGAGAGAUGGCUGAGCUGGCUGAAGGCGCUCGCCUGGAAAGCGGGUAAACGUGAAAGCGUUUCGAGGGUUCGAAUCCCUCUCUCUCCGCCA